UCUCCGUUGGUGAACCAGCGGAGGGAUCAUUACCGAGUUUACAACUCUCAAACCCCUGUGAACAUACCAUUUGUUGCCUCGGCGCUGCCUGCUUCGUCAGCCCGCCAGAAGACCCAAACCCUUGAUUGUAUACAGCAUCUUCUGAGUAAAUGAUUAAAUAAAUCAAAACUUUCAACAACGGAUCUCUUGGUUCUG
rnacentral:misc_RNA from 1 species